rnacentral:rRNA from 1 species
UUUAUGGAGAGUUUGAUCCUGGCUCAGGAUGAACGCUGGCGGCGUGCCUAAUACAUGCAAGUCGAGCGAACGGACGAGAAGCUUGCUUCUCUGAUGUUAGCGGCGGACGGGUGAGUAACACGUGGAUAACCUACCUAUAAGACUGGGAUAACUUCGGGAAACCGGAGCUAAUACCGGAUAAUAUUUUGAACCGCAUGGUUCAAAAGUGAAAGACGGUCUUGCUGUCACUUAUAGAUGGAUCCGCGCUGCAUUAGCUAGUUGGUAAGGUAACGGCUUACCAAGGCAACGAUGCAUAGCCGACCUGAGAGGGUGAUCGGCCACACUGGAACUGAGACACGGUCCAGACUCCUACGGGAGGCAGCAGUAGGGAAUCUUCCGCAAUGGGCGAAAGCCUGACGGAGCAACGCCGCGUGAGUGAUGAAGGUCUUCGGAUCGUAAAACUCUGUUAUUAGGGAAGAACAUAUGUGUAAGUAACUGUGCACAUCUUGACGGUACCUAAUCAGAAAGCCACGGCUAACUACGUGCCAGCAGCCGCGGUAAUACGUAGGUGGCAAGCGUUAUCCGGAAUUAUUGGGCGUAAAGCGCGCGUAGGCGGUUUUUUAAGUCUGAUGUGAAAGCCCACGGCUCAACCGUGGAGGGUCAUUGGAAACUGGAAAACUUGAGUGCAGAAGAGGAAAGUGGAAUUCCAUGUGUAGCGGUGAAAUGCGCAGAGAUAUGGAGGAACACCAGUGGCGAAGGCGACUUUCUGGUCUGUAACUGACGCUGAUGUGCGAAAGCGUGGGGAUCAAACAGGAUUAGAUACCCUGGUAGUCCACGCCGUAAACGAUGAGUGCUAAGUGUUAGGGGGUUUCCGCCCCUUAGUGCUGCAGCUAACGCAUUAAGCACUCCGCCUGGGGAGUACGACCGCAAGGUUGAAACUCAAAGGAAUUGACGGGGACCCGCACAAGCGGUGGAGCAUGUGGUUUAAUUCGAAGCAACGCGAAGAACCUUACCAAAUCUUGACAUCCUUUGACAACUCUAGAGAUAGAGCCUUCCCCUUCGGGGGACAAAGUGACAGGUGGUGCAUGGUUGUCGUCAGCUCGUGUCGUGAGAUGUUGGGUUAAGUCCCGCAACGAGCGCAACCCUUAAGCUUAGUUGCCAUCAUUAAGUUGGGCACUCUAAGUUGACUGCCGGUGACAAACCGGAGGAAGGUGGGGAUGACGUCAAAUCAUCAUGCCC